UGCGUAGGCGGACACGUAAGUGCUUUGUGAAAUCCCACGGCUCAACCGUGGAAGUGCUUGGCAUACUGCGUGUCUUGAGAUCGGCAGGGGCUGUCGGAACUGUAGGUGUAGCGGUGAAAUGCGUAGAUAUCUACAGGAACACCCAUGGCGAAGGCAGACAGCUGGGCCGAUUCUGACGCUGAGGCACGAAAGCGUGGGGAGCAAACA
rnacentral:rRNA from 1 species